rnacentral:lncRNA from 1 species
UCUCUUGGACGCCCCCCUCUCCCAUCUUCUUCCUCCUCAAACCUUUGCAGCCCUCACCACCCAAAACCCUAGCCGCCCCCCCCCCCCAUUUCUCCCCCUCCUCCAAGGUGCAGCCCUCCCGUGUGGUUCUCCGUCGUGUGGCUGCGAUCUCAAUUGGAGUUUGGAGGGAGGAAGAAGGAAGGAGGAAGGGAAGAACCUAAGGUGAAUUUGUGAUUAACUUUUGUUGUUUUUGUGCUGCAAUCAAUUGGAUUAUGUGUUUAUCUUUGCGAAUCGGUAGAGGUGCUGUCCAGGAAUUUUGUGAGUGGGUGAACAGCAGUAGUUCUAGGGAUUUCUGGGAAUUUUCGUGGGGUAAUUAGUGGGAAUCAGUGGGAUAAUCAUGUAGAGCUUUGUCAUACCUUUCCAACGAGUACUUAUGCGCUCGAUUCGGAGUUAUAAUUUAGGAGAUAUCGUUGUUUGAAUCCGGGUAUGUUGCUGUCCAAAAAAACAGUUUUUUCAGGUGGGUGAACAGCAGUAGUAUUAGCAGUUUCUGGGAAUUUUUCGUGGGUAAUUAGUAUUAACCAGUAUUAUAAUCAUGUAGGGCUUUGUCUUAUCUUUCCAAUGAGUACUUAUGUGCUUGAUUUGGAAUUAUAUUUUAAAAGAUAUCGCUGUUUGAAUCCGGGUAUGUUGCUGUCCAAAAAAACAGAUUUUUCAGGUGGGUGAACAGCAGUAGUAUUAGCAAUUUCUGGGAAUUUUUCGUGGUUAAUUAGUGCUAACCAGUAUGAUAAUCAUGUAUGGCUUUGUCUUAUCUUUCCAAUGAGUACUUAUGCGCUUGAAUUGGAAUUAUAUUUUAAAAGAUAUCGCUGUUUGAAUCCGGGUAUGUCGCUGUCCAAAAGAGAAAAAAACAGAUUACAAGGUUCAUCUUGUGAACUGUUUUGGGCUAAUUAGAUGUUGGAAUUUAAUUAUAAAUUGUAUACAAAACUUGUGGGGAAUUUUAUGUAGAUGCCUCUGGAGUUUUUGUUUGUUACCAAUGCUGUCAUAAUUUUGAAGUUAUGAAACUAUUAAGCAGCGCCGCUGCAGUUUGGUGGGUGUGGGGAGAGAUGUAACCCGCGGCGGGGUUUGAGUUUGUGCGUAGGUGCGGCGUCGUUUAUGAGCCUGGUUAUGUGAAAUUGGUGCACUAAGUUGUGUGUCAAAAACAGGUGGUGGACUUCCGAAUCGUACUUAGGGAUUUGCCCAAACUUCCGGUAAAGGCAAGUAAAUACAGUGGUGGUUGCUACCGUUUGGUUUGCAUCCUAUUCCCUGUCAUUGAGUAUGCAUAAGUUUUAAAUAUGUUAAUCAUUGAAUUCUAUGAUGAAGUUUAUUUGUUCGAAAGUAUUAAUUCUCAAUUGUCUAAUAUUGUGGAUGAUCAUGAUUUGGUAAUGAUAUAUGUGGUUGAUUCCUAUCAUGGAUGGAGUUGAAGUAUUUUUUUUGAAUCACGUUAUAUGAAGUGUUGUAGGCAUGUCAUGCACAUUGCAUCAUCCAUCUUGCAUUCUGAAGUUAUGUCGUGAUCUUAUGGUCCGACUGUACCGGUACAUUUUUAGCAUCGUACGUUGCCCGAGGAGGGGUACGAUGCGGCUUCAUAUCCUUAGAGGUAUGAAGGCAGAAGUCAUCCUUGCAUUUGCAGACAUUUGCACUCAUGAGGUAUAUAUAUGAAGAGUGACAUUACUAUGUUACUAUUGUGGUUUCUACCUGCGAGGUGUGGUAGCUAGGAGUGUUGUACGUUGUAUACGUGCUGCACCUUUGUAAUAAGAAGGUUGUGAAAUCAAGUGGUGGUAAAACAAUAUUCUUAUGUGGUUAAACAGUUUGAUAUUAUUUUACUUGCUGAGAUGUGUCAUCUCACUCUUGCAUUACUCAAUGCAGGUACUUGAUACAUGUUGGGAAUGAGGGGAGUAGCAGCACGUCCACUUUCACUCUCAUAAUAGUGCUGCCCAGGCGUAGCCAUGAUUUAAUUAGAAACUUGUUGUCAAAAGAAGUUUAUAUUUUUUUGCUAGUCGUGCGCACUGGUUAAUUCAGUUCAUGUCGUAUGUUUAACUUCCCUUUGCUAGCCGAUUAAUAAUACUUGGUAUGUUUUUGUCAUGAUAUAUGUUUAUACACUGUUGUCCCCCCCUCAUUUAUGCAAUUUUGUAAAGGAGAUGCUGCCAAAAUUUUAUAUAGAUGUCAGAAGUGUAGUUCAGUAGCAUUCCGGGGUGUUUGUGGACCUCGGGGUGUUACAGUUGGUAUCAAAGGAUAUGCUUUAGAUUCUACGCAAUUUGAAGAUAAAUUUGACACACUUGCACAUAUAGGAAGGGUAUGGGUUCGUAUAUCUUUCAUAUUAGUAUUUUAUUGUAUAGAUGACUAGAACUUCUUUACUCCAAAUUCCUUUAUGGUUUGAUGGGGUACGUCAUUAAUGACGUAAUGCUUGAUAUGAUAUGUUAUUUCUAUUUAAUAUUGGUUUCUUGAUGUGGUUGUUAUUGAAGAUAUUAUGCAAGUGAAGCUACUACUGUACUUGUUUUAUAUACAUAUUGUCAUGAUGUUUUUUUUGAUGCAAUGUUUUCAAAUCUCUGAGCUAUUACUAUCAUAUAUUUCUAUAUGCUUGACUGUGGAUGUUUUUUUCCAAAAGGAUUCUUGGGUUCUAGUACUUGUAGGACCGAUUGUUUAUUGAGCUUGUCUAUAGUGGGUCUAAUCCGACUUGGUGUAGUGUGAAAACACUAUAUAAUGUAGUUUUAUGGUGUUGUUGAGUUUGAUUGACUGUUGGGUUACAACCCAAUUUAUCAAUGUAAUAUUUCCAUGGGUGCAAUGCUUUGCGCCUCACUUUUUUGGCUAGUGUGGCUACUUGCUAACUUGAUCUUAGUAUAAAAUUGGUUUGUCUCUAUAGAGCAAAGGCAACAUUGUAAUGUCUAUGAAAUCUUGAGACUGGUAGAACUCAAGUGAAUUUGUAAGAUGACGUAGAUUGAUAAGUCCAACCAUGUUUACCUGAUAGGUUUUCUUAUUAUGUGCAACCUUAUUUUUUUAACAAUAAAUAGGGUGGUUUCAAGUGGAUUUUAUGUCGUGCAUGUUUUCCUUCUAUGGUUUGUUUCAAUAUCCAUAAAGGCUAUGCAUAAUUUUUAGUUGUUGCAGGCUAAUCAUGUGGACGAUAUUGACAACCCAUUUUAUUUUUUUUAUUUGCCAACAUUGUAUGGUAGUUUGAUUUUUUUUAUGAUCAGUUUCUCUAUGCAUGCUUGUUGAAUCAUUAUUUGGACCGCUUUAUCUUAAACGAAGUCAAUGCUUAACUGGGAGUUGCUUAUGUUUGUUAGUCAUCUAUCUCUUUAAUGAUGGGGUUGUUGCAUCGGAUUGAGAUUUUUCUUAUAUGAAUGAUGGUUUGAUAGAUCAUGUAUGUCUACUACUUUGAAUGCAUCCUGUGAUAUCACGAGGUACAAAUUGUUCAAGUGCAGUAAUAGUAGGUUUUGUUGUAUGUGAGGUUAUCAAGGUAGUUUGGUUAUGUGGAUUGUCUUAUUGACAUCCAAUUACUCCUGAUGAGCAUAGUAUCGUGUUGCUAUUUUAGUAUUGAAAGUAAUAUUUAUGAAGCUUUUGCAUGAGUCUGUGUCAAGAAGUACAUUAGUUUUUCUUGUUGUUAUCCCUCCAUUGCUUUAUGAGUAUUGCAAAUUUUAUCUCUUUUGAGAGGAGGAAAAGACGUUACAUGACAUGAGCACCAUUUGCUUCACGUCAACAGAAUAGUUGUGGAGAGCUCUAAUAGUUGGAUUCUAGUGUAAUAACAACCAUGUCUUAUAGUGCUAGAGACGGGUAUGUCAGGUGUUUCAUACAUUGUCGAUACAUGGAUGUUUGACCUUAGUGGCAUUAACAAACGAGGUUGUUUAAUUCGUUGAUUGUUGUGCUUAGUGUUCUAACCUAUUAGGUAAAGUGUUGCUUAAAGGCUUUGGGGAGUUGCAUCCCCAUUUGGUAGUGGAAAAUCCUAGUGUUGAUCGCACCUGCCAAUGCCUUGGGUUUUAUUUUAUAUUGUUUUUUUUAUUAUGGGUAAGGUGUUGUUUGGUUUUGGGAGUCAUUUUAAAUUAGUUGGAGGCUGAAUCAGGCUUCACUUAUCUAGAAUGUUUUGUAGUAGGCUUCUUCAUCUUUGCAUAGGAUGCUCAAUCACCCAGUUUGGUCUAAACAUUGGAGAGUUAUGGGUUUCCUAUAGCAGCCUUAAUUUUGUACGGAAGUAUAGACAUUGAAGACGGUAAAUUUUGGUUUUGUUGGAUUAUGAAAGUUUUAGUAAUUUCAUGAUCUUUCCAAAGAUUAUUGGUUUGUAAUUUUCAUUGCAUAUAAUUGGAGUUAGGCUACUCUGAAGUUGUUACACUGUUGUGUCUGAACUUUAGGUGUCGUUAAAACCACCAAUAAAUCGACCGUGUUCUGAUAGUUUCAGAGCCCAAAUUUGGGAAUUCUCUUUAAGAAAAACUUUUAGUUUUUCUAAGUACCUUUUAAUGGGUAUUUACUUGUAAUUGCCUAUUAAAUAGAUUGGGAGAGGUGGUUGUCCGGAUAUAAGUCGAAUCUCUGAUGUGCAGUAUCUCAGGUUGAGUUUAGCUGUAGGUCAUGCAGAGUUGAGGGUUAUAAAGAUAAAUUUGGGUGCAACUUUAUUGCAAAAGUCGUGGACAAUUUCCAAACUUUUCCAACGCAUGUUCGUUAUAGUUUUAAGUUGAGUAUAGCAGGAGUUAUAGGAUUUUGAAUUUUAGUUGUCCAAUAUUUCUAUCCUAUCAGUUUUGCAACAAAGCAGUUGCAUUGUUUUAUCGGUUUGGAAACCAAUUCUGAGACACUCAUUAUAAUAAAAGUUUUAGGGAAUGUUAUAACCUUUCCAAUGAGUUUGUAUUUGCAAAAUUUUGUUAGAUGCAGAUUGGGUGAGUUAUUGGAUGGAUAUAUAUGCAUAGUAUAAUUAAAAAAAAAGUGUUCUUCGAUGGAAUGAUAUAAUGUAUAGAAUAUGCUUGGAUGGAUAUAUGGGCAGGCGUAGUAUGCUUAAAUCGAUUCUUGCUUCCAUGAUGUGAGAUAAGGCUUAAAAUGAUUUAAAAAGUUAGCAUAUGGCUUCUAUCUUUAUGUUGGCUCUGUGUGUCUCGUAAUGAAGAACCUAAAGUUAUUAGUCCUUCGAUGAACACUUAAUCUUAGAAGAGUAUAGAACCUGAAUAAAUCUAUUGCUUGCUGUUUGGGACUACAUGACCAGUUUUGGUUAUGCAGCUAGUUCAAUGAAUUAAACCAUGUUUUCUGUAGAGGUGUUGUAUAUAAAAGUUGUAGCCAACUUCUUCAUCUUACUUGUGUAAAAUUUCAUGACCAUAGGUCUAGUAGUUUGGGAGUUAUGAUUUUCUCAAGUCUAGUCUUGGAAUCUAUCCAGAUUCUGUACAGAUUUUGAAACUGACCUUGUUUGCCCAAGUUAAACUUUGAAUCAGUUCUUAAAAAUUAUAAAGAAGUGGAGUACUUUCCUUAAGAUUUCCAACAAAUAUUGGAUCACCCUUUUUGGUGACCUAUAAGUUAAGCUACAGCUGUUUUAAGUGGAAUCUUUGAAUCUGUCCAAAUUUGGACAGCAAAGCCUUUCUUAUGUCUUUUGACCUUGAUAUGCAUUGAAUUAACCUGAUAUGUUUAUAAAUGAAAUAUAGACAAUUUUACUGGCUUUCAAAAAAGUCUAGGAGCGCCUAAAUUGGAUGACUGAGACUCCAAUUAUGGAUUUUUUAAGUGAGUAGUUGAAUUCUGUCCAAGUCUGGACAAAAUUUACGUUUCACAUUGUUUGUCCUUUCUAAGUGUCAAAUCUUGUGGUGAUGAUAAUACCAAGGGUAUAGUGGACUUUGUAAGCUUUCCAUAAAGUCCUAGUUUACUACUGUUGGAUGCAUAUUUUGUGAGUUUAUGAGCAAAACAAUUAACCGUUGUGCUGAUGUCUAGAAAUAUGCAAGCAUUAAAUUGAUCUUUUGAAGUUACUCUUGUUUGGAUAGGUUUGGUUUAGGCUAUUGGAGCACAGUAUGUAUUGCUUUCAUUAUAUAUAUUCAUUGAAGUACUUGCAUGUGUCAAUGUUGAUUUGGUGUCAGGAAAACUUUGUCCGGGUUAUAUAGGACUGUCUAUUAUCUUAGCCCGAGUUGGCAGCUUGGCUUAGCACAUGCAAUUGUCAGAGUCUAUGAUCAGAGUACGCCAUGUAUUCCAUGUCUCUAUGUUGAGAAAGUAUUUGCGGAAUCCAUAUCAAUAAUCGAGCUAGAGUCGAUUCCCAUGUAGCAAGACCUGACUCUAGAGUGUCGUCUGCUGCGUAUCCUAGAAUCCUUGAAGCUCGAGGAGCUGAUGCGGCAGAAGUACCCCGAACUUUUCGUUAUGGGGUGAGUUUUUGUUGUCGCUGAUCUUUCCUUGUCGUUCCGAUAGAAGCGUCGGAAUUCGAGGUCGAAUUCUUUUUAAGGGGGGUAGAGUGUGAUACCCGGUUUGCAAAGAAGAGAAGUUGAAGGUUAUUCUUUUUGUUUGUUUUUUCUCUUAUUCGGGUGUCGCGCUUUGGGGAUUUAGAAUUUGUGGAAAACAUUCACCAGUAUAGCAGUAGAGUGGUUGGUCGGGAGCUGUCGUGCAAGCGAGUUGGGCCGCGAAUCGCAAUCCGGCCCACUAACCCUCCCCUAACCCUAGCCGCCCCCCCUUUUUCCCCCUUGGGUUGUUGCAGCCGCCCCUUCCCCUCCCCUUUCUCUUGGACGCCCCCCUCUCCCAUCUUCUUCCUCCUCAAACCUUUGCAGCCCUCACCACCCAAAACCCUAGCCGCCCCCCCCCCAUUUCUCCCCCUCCUCCAAGGUGCAGCCCUCCCGUGUGGUUCUCCGUCGUGUGGCUGCGAUCUCAAUUGGAGUUUGGAGGGAGGAAGAAGGAAGGAGGAAGGGAAGAACCUAAGGUGAAUUUGUGAUUAACUUUUGUUGUUUUUGUGCUGCAAUCAAUUGGAUUAUGUGUUUAUCUUUGCGAAUCGGUAGAGGUGCUGUCCAGGAAUUUUGUGAGUGGGUGAACAGCAGUAGUUCUAGGGAUUUCUGGGAAUUUUCGUGGGGUAAUUAGUGGGAAUCAGUGGGAUAAUCAUGUAGAGCUUUGUCAUACCUUUCCAACGAGUACUUAUGCGCUCGAUUCGGAGUUAUAAUUUAGGAGAUAUCGUUGUUUGAAUCCGGGUAUGUUGCUGUCCAAAAAAACAGAUUUUUCAGGUGGGUGAACAGCAGUAGUAUUAGCAGUUUCUGGGAAUUUUUCGUGGGUAAUUAGUAUUAACCAGUAUUAUAAUCAUGUAGGGCUUUGUCUUAUCUUUCCAAUGAGUACUUAUGUGCUUGAUUUGGAAUUAUAUUUUAAAAGAUAUCGCUGUUUGAAUCCGGGUAUGUUGCUGUCCAAAAAAACAGAUUUUUCAGGUGGGUGAACAGCAGUAGUAUUAGCAAUUUCUGGGAAUUUUUCGUGGUUAAUUAGUGCUAACCAGUAUGAUAAUCAUGUAUGGCUUUGUCUUAUCUUUCCAAUGAGUACUUAUGCGCUUGAAUUGGAAUUAUAUUUUAAAAGAUAUCGCUGUUUGAAUCCGGGUAUGUCGCUGUCCAAAAGAGAAAAAAACAGAUUACAAGGUUCAUCUUGUGAACUGUUUUGGGCUAAUUAGAUGUUGGAAUUUAAUUAUAAAUUGUAUACAAAACUUGUGGGGAAUUUUAUCUAGAUGCCUCUGGAGUUUUUGUUUGUUACCAAUGCUGUCAUAAUUUUGAAGUUAUGAAACUAUUAAGCAGCGCCGCUGCAGUUUGGUGGGUGUGGGGAGAGAUGUAACCCGCGGCGGGGUUUGAGUUUGUGCGUAGGUGCGGCGUCGUUUAUGAGCCUGGUUAUGUGAAAUUGGUGCACUAAGUUGUGUGUCAAAAACAGGUGGUGGACUUCCGAAUCGUACUUAGGGAUUUGCCCAAACUUCCGGUAAAGGCAAGUAAAUACAGUGGUGGUUGCUACCGUUUGGUUUGCAUCCUAUUCCCUGUCAUUGAGUAUGCAUAAGUUUUAAAUAUGUUAAUCAUUGAAUUCUAUGAUGAAGUUUAUUUGUUCGAAAGUAUUAAUUCUCAAUUGUCUAAUAUUGUGGAUGAUCAUGAUUUGGUAAUGAUAUAUGUGGUUGAUUCCUAUCAUGGAUGGAGUUGAAGUAUUUUUUUUUUGAAUCACGUUAUAUGAAGUGUUGUAGGCAUGUCAUGCACAUUGCAUCAUCCAUAUUGCAUUCUGAAGUUAUGUCGUGAUCUUAUGGUCCGACUGUACCGGUACAUUUUUAGCAUCGUACGUUGCCCGAGGAGGGGUACGAUGCGGCUUCAUAUCCUUAGAGGUAUGAAGGCAGAAGUCAUCCUUGCAUUUGCAGACAUUUGCACUCAUGAGGUAUAUAUAUGAAGAGUGACAUUACUAUGUUACUAUUGUGGUUUCUACCUGCGAGGUGUGGUAGCUAGGAGUGUUGUACGUUGUAUACGUGCUGCACCUUUGUAAUAAGAAGGUUGUGAAAUCAAGUGGUGGUAAAACAAUAUUCUUAUGUGGUUAAACAGUUUGAUAUUAUUUUACUUGCUGAGAUGUGUCAUCUCACUCUUGCAUUACUCAAUGCAGGUACUUGAUACAUGUUGGGAAUGAGAGGAGUAGCAGCACGUCCACUUUCACUCUCAUAAUAGCGCUGCCCAGGCGUAGCCAUGAUUUAAUUAGAAACUUGUUGUCAAAAGAAGUUUAUUUUUUUUGCUAGUCGUGCGCACUGGUUAAUUCAGUUCAUGUCGUAUGUUUAACUUCCCUUUGCUAGCCGAUUAAUAAUACUUGGUAUGUUUUUGUCAUGAUAUAUGUUUAUACACUGUUGUCCCCCCCUCAUUUAUGCAAUUUUGUAAAGGAGAUGCUGCCAAAAUUUUAUAUAGAUGUCAGAAGUGUAGUUCAGUAGCAUUCCGGGGUGUUUGUGGACCUCGGGGUGUUACAAUAGAGUUCAUAGGGCGAUCUCUUUGUAUCGCUUGGUGGACUCUUGAGUGAGGCGGCCUUGGACCCUG